rnacentral:rRNA from 1 species
AUUGAACGCUGGCGGCAGGCCUAACACAUGCAAGUCGAACGAGUGGCGGACGGGUGAGUAAUGUCUGGGAAACUGCCUGAUGGAGGGGGAUAACUACUGGAAACGGUAGCUAAUACCGCAUACCAUCGGAUGUGCCCAGAUGGGAUUAGCUAGUAGGUGGGGUAAAGGCUCACCUAGGCUACGAUCCCUAGCUGGUCUGAGAGGAUGACCAGCAACACGUGAGCGGAGACACGGUCCAGACUCCUACGGGAGGCACGAGUGGGGAAUAUUGCACAAUGGGCGCAAGCCUGAUGCAGCCAUUCCGCGUGUAGGAAGAAGGGCUUCGGGUUGUAAAGUACUUUCAGCGGUGAGGCGUUACCCGCAGAAGAAGCACCGGCUAACUCCGUGCCAGCCGCCGCGGUAAUAC